UCAGAAAUGCUUCCUGAACAGCAAACCCCAACUUCACAGACGGUCCCAUCGGAAAACAGCUGACAAAGGCCUGGUUAUGUAAUGGAAGCAGCAAAUAAUUAGCACAAAUACUCCCCAACAGAAGUGGAAGAAACACCCCCUCAGCUCUCAGCAAUGUGAAGUGAGUUACCGCCUAGAUUAUAAAUCAGUGAGUGCUGCAUAAAGAGCUGCUGAAGAAAUAGGCUAUGCUUUAAAAGCCCUUAAAUGUGGAUUUAAUUUUAUACUGCGAUUCACA
rnacentral:lncRNA from 1 species